rnacentral:scRNA from 1 species
CAGGAUGGCGGCGCCACUUCCUUCAUAAAUGU